ensembl:ncRNA F21C10.16 ncRNA
GAAAGAAAGGAUGAUGGAUCAAGCAAGAACGCUGAAAACUGGGAUGGCUUUCCAAACAAUUGGCAAUUGUUGAUGGCAAAAUUUGGAAGAGAAGGGAGCAGGGUGAAAAACAAAAAACCGCUUGUUCUGACUUAUCAAAAUAUGUUUAAAAUUUAGACAUACGUUUUCUUUUAGUCGGACUUCAAAAUAGGUGUCUCUUUGUAAAACUUGGAGUAUAGUUAAUUU